GCCCAGAUGGCGGAAUUGGUAGACGCGCUGGUCUCAAACACCAGUGGAGUAAAAUCCAUCCCGGUUCGAUCCCGGGUCUGGGUACCA
rnacentral:tRNA from 1 species